UUCUUCGCAUUCUCGUCGCUCCACAGGUCGCUUUCAUCGGCACUGUAGCAUGCAGGAUAAUUGCAGAUGGAUGCCACCUCCGAUUACUGUAGUUUUCCUGCGCUUCUGUUUUCUAGCCAGGAGGCAGUCGUGCGUCGAGCUGGGCCACUGUCAGCGAAGAGGUUGUUGCUUAGGGCCGUGUAGCGUGCCGUCGGCGGAUGCGCUGUCUGGAGGGGGCGCAUGCGCGGUGACGCGUAGCCCGCGAGCUGUCCCAUCGAAAUUUCCGGAGCGCGUGCGCCGGCAGUUUUCAAGUCGGUAACUCAGGUUCUGGUGUCUUCUUCUGGUUGCUAUUUAUGAGCAUGAUGUCUGCGUCGCUGCGGUCCAUCAACGUCGAGGCCACUGCUGGUGGCGGCUACCGGUCGAACUACAUCUCGCUCGAGGCGUGGCGCUGGUCGUAAGAGGAAUCGAAGCGGAGGAGAAGCUCAGCGGCACGGUGGUCGGCCCUGUGGUGUAAAUCAAUGGUGGCAUCGUCCCUCCUCCCGGUGGUCCGUUCGCUCCACGAGAUUUCCCCCGCCGGCCGGCCCCGCUCCUUAAGAUCACGCCGCCGGCCGCCUCUCCCCGAGCGGCGCCACCGGUUUGACUCAUCGGACAGGCAUGCCGGUUUGACUCAUCGGACAUGCAUGCCGAUUUGACUCAUCGGACCGUGCCGCCGCUCCCCGAGGCUUCUGUGGCGAUGGCGACGGCCGCUUGCGCCCUGCUUCCCUGUCGCUGCGCGUCUCUCCUGCCUCCCUCCGUCGCGCGCCAGUGCCCGCGUCCCUGCCAGCGCUCCCGCCUCGCUGUCGUCGCCUACCCAGGCGCCGUUCCUCGCCCCUCCUGCACCAUCGACAUCUCCACGCGCUCUCUUUGUUUGGCACGAUGUGGCCAUCUCCCGGGAAGCCUGCGUGCGCGGCGGCAGCUUAUGGCUCCGUGGAUCACGCCCGCUUCCUGUUCGACGAAACUGUACGGCGGUGGAUUUUGCAAUUCUGGUUGGCUUCGAGAGGAAUUACUAAUCCUUCUGAUGACCUGCAUGUUCUUGAACUUUUGACUCUUCUGCUUCUACCAGUUUCUAUUUCUAAUCUGCGAGGGGGGCUUCAACAACAGCCUCGCUCCUUCUCAACACCGCAGCCGCGACCCUUUCCCGGAUCCAUCGUGUCCCUCGGAUCGACUCAGGGUCUGCUCAUGCACUUCACCGUGGCGGUCAGUAGCAGACCACGGGGGCGACCACAAAAGCAGCAAAGCCCCAUGCCCAAGUGUCACGCCUUUGUCUUGAAGGUCAUUACUGCUCCGUCUGCUUGCAUGCAUCUAGCUCACAUCUCCAAACCCUCAUCGCCUGCGCUGGAAGAUUUAUUGACGGGGUCACUAAUUUAUUUGCAGCAUGCAUAAAAUAUGUUAUUAUUUUGGUGAUCAAAAUGAAGGGUCACUUUACUGUUGGUGCAAAGGCGAGACGGACAUGGGAAAGGGAGGUGGGUGCCGCAUAGAGGAGGGAGGCCACAACGACGGCCAGGAAAGCGGUUCGGCGGCGGAGAGAGGCGCCCCAGAGACAGAGUCGAUCCGACAGAGGAGGGGAUGAAAGUGCAGGUCGCUAAGAGGCCGAGAAAACCAACCACGCUUCCAUGAAGCGCUGAGGAGCCAGAGGAGCAUUAUAACUCUUCCAGAUGGCAUAAAGCAUAGUACUCCUUCCGUUUCAUAAAGAUUGGCACGAAUUUGAACUAUAACAAUUUAAAUCCGUGUCAAUUUUUAUGAAACGGAGGGAGUAUUAUUUAUCUGGUAUAGCAGACUUAACUGUGUAUACUGGCUGGUAAUAAUAUUUAUGCUUUAUGCCAUCUAGCAUAUUGUUACCGUAAAUUGUUUCCAUGUAAACAAACCUAAUUUUUUAUAUGUAUGAAUCUAACCACUGAACUUGACAAA